GAUUCUGGCUCAGGAUAAACGCUGGCGGCGUGCGUAACACAUGCGAAGUUGAGCGACGACGUAUCUGAAGUGGAGACGAUGGAAGGCGAGCGGAGCAGCGGACGGGUGAGUACAACAUGAGAAGCUGUCCUGAAGUGGGGGACAACGUCCGGAAACGGACGCUAAUACCCCAUAGGCCGAGAGGUUAAAGCCGCAAGGCGCUUUAGGAGGUGCUCGUGUCCUAUCAGCUAGUUGGUGGGGUAAGGCUCACCAAGGCGACGACCGGGUAGCCGGCCUGAGAGGGUGUACGGCCAACACUGGGGACUGAGAUACGGCCCAGACUCCUACGGGAGGCAGCAGUGGGGAAUAUUGGGCAAUGGGGAAGGAAUCCUGACCCAGCGACGCCGCGUGAACGAAGACGGCCUUAGGGUUGUAAAGUUCUUUUAUGUGGGAAGUAAGGAAGUGACGGUACCACAUGAAUAAGCCCCGGCUAACUACGUGCCAGCCGCCGC
rnacentral:rRNA from 1 species